ACCUAUGGCCAUCGUAGUCUGAAAAUGCUUGAUCUCGCCAGAUCUCAGAAGCUAUUCAGACUCAGGCCUGGCUAGUACUUGUAUGGGAGACCAACUAGUAACUUCAGAUGCUAUAAGCC
rnacentral:rRNA from 1 species